AUUGAACGCUGGCGGCAUGCCUUACACAUGCAAGUCGAACGGCAGCACGGGAGCAAUCCUGGUGGCGAGUGGCGAACGGGUGAGUAAUAUAUCGGAACGUGCCCAGUCGUGGGGGAUAACGUAGCGAAAGCUACGCUAAUACCGCAUACGAUCUAUGGAUGAAAGCGGGGGAUCGCAAGACCUCGCGCGAUUGGAGCGGCCGAUAUCAGAUUAGGUAGUUGGUGAGGUAAAGGCUCACCAAGCCGACGAUCUGUAGCUGGUCUGAGAGGACGACCAGCCACACUGGGACUGAGACACGGCCCAGACUCCUACGGGAGGCAGCAAUGGGGAAUUUUGGACAAUGGGCGCAAGCCUGAUCCAGCAAUGCCGCGUGCAGGAUGAAGGCCUUCGGGUUGUAAACUGCUUUGUACGGAACGAAACGGUAAGCUCUAAUACAGUUUGCUAAUGACGGUACCGUAAGAAUAAGCACCGGCUAACUACGUG
rnacentral:rRNA from 1 species